AUUGAACGCUGGCGGCAGGCCUAACACAUGCAAGUCGAACGAGUGGCGGACGGGUGAGUAAUGUCUGGGAAACUGCCUGAUGGAGGGGGAGAACUACUGGAAACGGUAGCUAAUACCGCAUACCAUCGGAUGUGCCCAGAUGGGAUUAGCUAGCAGGUGGGGUAAAGGCUCCACUAGGCGACGAUCCGUAGCUGGUCUGAGAGGAUGACCCGCCACCCUGGAACGGAGACACGGUCCAGACUCCUACGGGAGGCAGCAGUGGGGAAUAUUGCACAAUGGGCGACAGCCUGAUUCAGCCAAGCCGGGUAUAUGAUGAAGGCCUUCUGGUUGUAAAGUACUUUCAGCCGGGAGGCGUUACCCGCAGAAGAAGCACCGGCUAACUCCGUGCCAGCAGCCGCGGUAAUAC
rnacentral:rRNA from 1 species